CACCAUUUGUCUACCACCAGCACUCACAUCUACUUGUCAAUGGCUGAUCUCCAAAGCUAAGCUGGGCUGGGCCUGAUUAGUACUUGGAUGGGAGACUGCUGGGAAUACCAGGUGCCACAGUGGGGC
rnacentral:rRNA from 1 species